UACGUAGGUGGCAAGCGUUGUUCGGAAUUAUUGGGCGUAAAGGGCGCGUAGGCGGUUUGUUAAGUCGGCUGUGAAAGCCCGGGGCUCAACCCCGGAGGGUCAGCCGAUACUGGCAGACUAGAGUACGGAAGAGGUAGCUGGAAUUCCCGGUGUAUCGGUGAAAUGCGUAGAUAUCGGGAGGAACACCUGAGGCGAAGGCGGGCUACUGGGCCGAUACUGACGCUGAUGCGCGAAAGCCAGGGGAGCAAACGGG
rnacentral:rRNA from 1 species